UACGGAAGCAGCAGUGGGGAAUAUUGCACAAUGGGCGAAAGCCUGAUGCAGCUAUGCCGCGUGUAUGAAGAAGGCCUUAGGGUUGUAAAGUACUUUCAUCGGGGAGGAAAAAACAAAACUAAUAAUUUUAUUUCUUGACGUUACCCGAAAAAGAAGCACCGGCUAACUCCGUGCCAGCAGCCGCGGUAAUACGGAGGGUGCUAGCGUUAAUCAGAAUUACUGGGCGUAAAGAGCACGUAGGUGGUUUUUUAAGUCAGAUGUGAAAUCCCUGGGCUUAACCUAGGAACUGCAUUUUGAAACUGAAAUACUAGAGUAUCGUAGAGGGAGGUAGAAUUCUAGGUGUAGCGGUGAAAUGCGUAGAUAUCUGGAGGAAUACCUGUGGCGAAAGCGGCCUCCUAAACGAAUACUGACACUGAGGUGCGAAAGCGUGGGGAGCAAACAGGGAUUAGAUACC
rnacentral:rRNA from 1 species